rnacentral:rRNA from 1 species
CCUACGGGAGGCAGCAGUGGGGGAUAUUGCACAAUGGGGGAAACCCUGAUGCAGCGACGCCGCGUGGGUGAAGAAGCGCCUCGGCGCGUAAAGCCCUGUCAGCAGGGGAGAAAAUGACGGUACGUGAAGAAGAAGCUCCGGCUAACUACGUGCCAGCAGACGCGGUAAUACGGAGGGGGCAGGCGUUAUCCGGAUGUACUGGGUGUAAAGGGGGCGCAGACGGCGAUGCAAGCCAGGAGUGAAAGCCCGGGGCCCAACCCCGGCACUGCUGUUGGAACUGCGUGGCUAGAGUGCAGGAGGGGCAGGCGGAAUUCCUGGUGUAGCGGUGAAAUGCGUAGAUAUCAGGAGGAACACCGGUGGCGAAGGCGGCCUGCUGGACUGCAACUGACGUUGAGGCCCGAAAGCGUGGGGAGCAAACAGGAUUAGAUACCCUUGUAGUC